AUGAGCAUAAAUCUCUACUUCAUGAGUCAGGAAAGAAUUAAAAAAAAAAAAAAAAGACAUGUAGGGCUGACUCAAGGCCAAGAAAAACUUGGGCUUUCUCACUGCAAAUUGAGCAAUCCUCUCCGUGCUCCUCACUCUCCUGACUGGCCUCAUCCAUUCCCUGUCCACAGUUUUUGAAUGCUGGUGAAGUCCAGAGCCAGCAGCCAAGAAGAAUUCUUGAGCCAUCUUUGGUGCAAAAUGUUGGUUUUAUUAAAGCUGGGAUAGGACCCGAGGUAGGGGGGGCAGGAAGAGCUGCUGCCCCAGGGUUGUGAUGGGUGGCUGACUGUAUACUUGGGAGUUGGAAAAGGGGGGUUUUCAAAAGAACUUUCAUAUGCUAAAGAAGGCGUACAGCCAUUGUCAAGUUAAGGCUGUUUUUGCUUCUAGCAAGGCAUUAACAUUAAGACAGUUGGGAGUUUCCUACUGGAAGUUAGGUUAUUGACAAGAAUGCUUUUUUUCUCUUAAAUCAAUAAAACAUUUGUCAAGUGAGCAGGUUAACCAUUUCUUUUUCCUCCCCUCCCGUUUUUCCUCCCCCUCCUCCCUCCAGGGAGCUUUUAGGAUCUCAUUAACUAGAUAAGUCCUUCUAUUAUAUGAUCUCAUAGCAACAUAUACCUUUCCUUAUAAGCACUUACUAUAUUUUUGCAUUUAUUUUGACGAUCAUAUUAUUAAUGUCUCUCUCUGUCUCUCAAGUCUAUGAGGGCAGGAUGGGACUGAUGGGAUCUUUUCCCCCUCUUAACGUUAGAUCCUCUGGCCUCUAGCAUCUGAUACUGAGUAAGUACUC
rnacentral:lncRNA from 1 species